rnacentral:rRNA from 1 species
GUAAGGAAUAUUGGUCAAUGGACGAAAGUCUGAACCAGCCAUGCCGCGUGGAGGAUGAAGGUCCUCUGGAUUGUAAACUUCUUUUAUAUGGGACGAAAAUGGGGCUUUCUAGCUCAACUGACGGUACCAUAUGAAUAAGCACCGGCUAACUCCGUGCCAGCAGCCGCGGUAAUACGGAGGGUGCAAGCGUUAUCCGGAUUCACUGGGUUUAAAGGGUGCGUAGGUGGAUUGGUAAGUCAGAGGUGAAAUCUCCGGGCUCAACUCGGAAACUGCCUUUGAUACUAUCAAUCUUGAAUAUUGUGGAGGUUAGCGGAAUAUGUCAUGUAGCGGUGAAAUGCUUAGAUAUGACAUAGAACACCAAUUGCGACGUCAGCUUGCUACACAUAUAUUGACACUGAGGCACGAAAGCGUGGGGAUCAAACAGGAUUAGAUACCCUUGUAGUCC